rnacentral:lncRNA from 1 species
GGAAGGCUCAGUGAGUUCAUUCCGAGAGGACGCUCUGAGCAAGGGUUGGGCUCUGGACACAAAGGCGUGAGGGGAAGCUGGGCCAGGGGGCCUCAGAUGGACUCACUGGGGGCUGGGGGAGCAUCAUGAGUGGCCCUGAGUGAAGAUGUGUUUCCAUCUGUGCCCCUGGGAAUACCUUCUGCCAGGAGUUGAUGGAGGAUGCUGAGGCCUGAGGCCACGCUCCUCCAGCUUUUCAAGUCUCGGUGAUUUUGGAAACAGCUGCAGGGACUUCACCCCCUGCCAGGCUUUGGACAGCGGUGGCCCCUUCAGAUCAGUGGAAGGCUCUCCUCCUUUUCCUUCCUCCCUCGGAGGUUUUCUUUUUGCACGUUGGACUUCUCUUCAUGGAUCAUCUGCCAGAUAGGUGGACCAAGAAUUCUUACUCUUUACAGAUUUUCUUCCCUUAAUGGUCCUGUUCUGUGCUGUCACCCUGGCACUCUUAGCAGCUGGCAGGAAAUGUUUAUAGAGCAAGCUUUUCUUUCUCUUUUUAAUAGCCUUCUAGGCUGCCACCUCCCAAAUAAGAACCUCGUUAACCAGAAGGACUCUAGGCUACUGAUUUAUAUUCCAGUCAUACCAAGAGGAAAAGAAAUGACAAAGGGAAAAAGAAAAUGCCAAAGUAUCCAUGGACUGGUUCCAACACCCUGUCUGAUGACGAGUGUGUAUAUCUAUUUAAGUUCUGGGUGCUAAGGGAUUCCUUCCAGAUUUUAGUAUUUGACCUAUUACCCUUGUGUCACAUGGAUUCUCUGUACCUCUUGUGGGUUUGCUGAAAACAAGGGUAAGAAUUUAAUUGUUCCAUGCCAUUUAAAUAAGAAAUCUAUUACUUUCAAAUAAUAAAGGCACUUAUUUCAACAGAGAUGUUAGUAUCUUAGUAAAGAUGGUGUCCAAGCUCACGGUGUCUUCGGAGGAUGGCUAAGGGCUCACCGCCUAUCACCCUGCACAGACACUGAAGGGCCAGCAUCCCUCCGUGAGUAGUGACCCGAGGGCCAUAAAACACAGCUGAAAGUCUUUGGUGGUCCGAAUUCCAGCUCAGUGCUUCAAGGAAGGCUUCCAGGAGGAGGAAGUGCCUUUGGAAUGGGGCUUUGGAACUGGCGUCAUAGAGAACGCAGGCUGUUCCCCAAUAUCCACGCCCCUCUACUUCCAUAGUAGUAGAAUCCCUAAUUUUUAGCUGGGGCCUCCCCCAUACAAAGUAAAGUUUUUUUUUAAUAUUGCUUGCAACAAUGGCCCCAAUUAUUCCCCUUCCUGUACACACAUCCUUCUCCAAAGUGACUUUGUAACCCCUCCUAUUUGGUGGUGGAGUCUAUUCCCCACCCCCACCUCCCACCCCCAACUUGAAUCCAGGCCAGACUUGUGACUUGCUUUGGCCAAUACAACGUGAUGGAAGUGACAUUGUGCCAAUUCUGAGCCUAGACCCCCAGAGGCCUUGCACGCUUCCACUCAAAAUCUUGGACUCCUGCCCAACCACCAUGUGGACAAGCCAGAGCUAGCCCUCUGGAGGAUAGGAGCCCACCUGGAGCAGAGACAAACUGUCCUAGCUGAGGUCAUCCUAGACCAGCCAGCACCCAGCCAAGCAGGCAGCUGACUGCAGGUACACAGUAGGCUCAGCCAAGACUACAAAAACUACCCAGCUGAACUCAGCCCAAAUGGCCAACCCAUAGAACCAUGUGCUAAAUAAAUGCUUAUUGAUUUUACUUUUAACAAAUUGUUUUAUUGAGGUCAUAUUGGCUUAUAACAUUGUAUAAAUUUCAGAUGUACAUUAUUAUAUUUCAGUUUCUGUAUAGACUGAAUUGUGUUCACUACCAACAGUCUAGUUUUCAUCUGUCACCAUACAUAUGUGCCCCUUUACCCUUUUUGCCCUCCCCCCACCCCUUCCUCUCCAGUAACCACCAAUCUGUUCUCCUUAUCUAUGUGUUUGUUUGUUUAUCUUCCAAAUGUGAAUGAAAUUGUAUGGUAUUUGUCUUUCUCUGACAUUUCGCUUAGCAUAAU